UAUUAGUAAAGGUAGGUGACUACUGCUAGGAAGGGCCAAUCCAGUUCCUUGCAUCAAUGCAGAGAAUUGCUGAGUAUUUAAGGCUCCCACUUAAAAUUUGCAAUUGUAAAAAUUGGCUCUGGCACCAUCGAAACCUGGCCCAUCUAUGCCCUCGUAGCUUUAGACUCAGCCUUAUCAUUUAAUUACCAUUUUUCUACAGAGUUCUGAGAGCGACUGACAAGAUUCAGGCUGAUGAGAUAAGCUAAUGCUUCAUGUAGGCGUUCUCUUGAAAUUCCUACAUUUUCCAGCCAUCCACAAGACGCGUCCCAAACCCAGUUCUGGUGUUGCCAAAUCAGCACGGAGGUAGUCAGUGUUGUCUGAACAUGCUGUGAGGACUGAGCGGUAAUUGCAGCAUGUCAACAUUACCUACUGCACCAUUUCAAGUCAAAGCUAUAGUUUAGCAAUCAUGCUAUUUUGAAAAGGUUGUCGUGGCACUCAGCCAAAGUGACCUCUAUCUGACAAAGCAUCUGCUGGUAAUCUUAUUAAUGAGCAGAGUAAACAUCAACCCUGUGCUAGAUUUGUGCAGGUAAGAGCUAGAGGAGGGCAGUUAGUUUGUUGUCUGCACAGGGAAAGGGAAGAAAGGUGAUUAUUCACAAGAGAGACUCUGGCCUCCAGAGCUCAUUCCUCAGAUUUUGCAACAACCAACCUUAGAAUUAAACAAAUGUGAUGUUUUCUGUAAAAACAGGGAUUAUUGCAGUGUUUUCCUACUGUUUAUUUGCAUGUUUAUUAGAUAUAAGUUAAGCAAAAACCAGCAGUAUUUCUCUUGAAGUAACUACACCAGCAGGCAGGCAACUAGUUAAUUCACCAGUUCUCUCACACUGGCAAUUCACAGCGCCCAUGGGUGCAGCCAAAUGCAGUACCAUGGUACUAGCCAUCAUGUGCAUCGAGUUAAGUGUGCCCAUAGGAAAAAAGAAAAUGCAAUACAGUAACUAUUUGCUGCUCUAGGUUAAGCGUGCUCAGGGGUAAAAACAAACUCCGUAAUGAUCAGCUGUUUGUUCUCUUUCCCAAAAGCACUUGGGGUGAAAAACCAACAUCAAUGAGCAUCCAAAUAUAACCUCAUGAUUAAACAAACAAACAAGCAAAACAGAUAAGCAGGGAGUACUCAGGCCUAUUUCUAACUUCAGUUAGAUCAGUAAAAAGGAUUUAAAUAAUGAUGGCAUUUCAGUGUAAUCAGAUUCUGGCUUGGUUUUGCCAAUAGUAAGUAAGGUGCAUCUCUCACUCUUAGUGGGAGAGACAAUCACAAUUUCCCCUCUCUUGAUGUUGGAGAAAGGUUCUCUGUAGAGAAAUCUGAGCAACUUAAAGGUCACAUUCUCUAUGUUGGUUCUCAUUCUGACUACAUAUAGCAAGAAAAAAAGAGCCUGCACCCUUUCAGUCAGCCUUACUCUGCUCCUUUAUAAGCACAAUUCUCCCUACCACGUGCACCAAGUAAAGCCCACCUUGCAUGUAUUUACCUAAAGGAACAGGAUGCUCUUCAGUUACUUAUUUCUCUUUGUCAUUUAAGGCCAUUUGAGCCUUCAAUUAAGCAGGUUGUAUAUCAGAUACUGUUCCCUCCCAGGAGGGCGAGAUCAGUAAUAUUUCAUUUUCCUAGCUACAGCUGAAAAUCCAUUCACACACAGAAGAGCAGUGCUUUACAAUACUUAUCUUUCUCCCUUUCUCUUUGAAGAAGCUUUCAUAGCUUUCAUCACAAGGACAUUUGCAGUAAUUACUUCCUCCUUUCCCCAGAAAUGUCUGCCAUAAGCAGAACUUUCCGCAUACAAGCAAAGGAAAACUUUGCUUUACGUACACAUAAAAAGCUUUUACUGGGAGCUUCCCAAUAUAAAGAUUAAAAACCUCACCAGACCCUCUCUUUGAGGAGAACACACGGAGCCAUAUCUUACAGUCACAGCCAAACUAUCCCACCCUAGCUGGGUGUAAGGCUGGUGAUGUUCUGCCUUCAUUUCCAGGUGGGCAGUAACAGUCCUGCCAGCAAACCCACUGCAGUGCAGUAACAGGCCCUCAGGGACAGGGAAUGAAAACAUGAAAAUCUAUGGCUUCAGUGUUUUUUAACCCUUGGUGCUGAGACCAGUCUUGCAUCAGCUCUGCAGUAGUCUUACACAGGAUCACAAAUGGUAUAUUAAACUCUGAUAAACUGCAAAUGAAAUAUUUAUGUAAAAAAAAUUUACUAAUACCUAGCAGCCUAGAAACAACUUCUUACAGAAGAGCUUCUCCUAAACAUAAUAAGCAGCUUCCACCCAUGUAAAAUACCUGGAAAGAGCUCUCAGUCCAUUGUUCUCACAGCAGUGCUCUUCCUAAUCCCCUUUGCUGAAGCAGUUCUAAGACUUCAUUACAGCACCUGACAUACUGCAAGCAACUUUCCCAUGAUCCUAAAAGGCCACCAUUUCAAUUAUUUCAUUUUAAAUCCACCUGAGAUGGUUUUCUUGUUCCUUAUUUCCUGUCCCUAUUUAUUUAACUCUUCCAAAACUGAUUGGAACUGCUGAUGUGUUUUUCAAGCUCACAGCAAGCACAACUGAAGCCAAAUGAUUUGCGUGCUUGACUGUUGCAGGGAGCCAGAAGGACGUGGUGCGUGUUAGCCUGGGACCUUCCAGCACUUGUAGCUGUUUGGAAGAAAAACUCUGGCUUUCUUCCUCUGCUACACUACAAAGUGAAACUGCUGCUGCUUGUUUUACUGCCAGACAGAUGCUGAGUUUUAGAGGAAGAAGAAACUAUCAGAAUCGGUGAUGAAUGUCUGUGGGAGUGAGGCUGAUUUGCUUGUGUUCUGUUGAGAAAGCUGGGGUCAGCCAUCCAGGUGUGGUUUCCCAGACCCCUCAUCUACAGAAGGAUGCACUUGGCAAGGAGAAAAUGUGCAGGAAAGGCAGCAGUGGUGACAAAAGGCCGCUCUCAGCUCUGCAGCAUCUGCUGGCAGUUUGGUGAUGACUGCUACCUUUGUUUCUGAGCUGUGAGCUACAGACAGUGGGUGGAAGCCAUGGAAGCGGGAGGCCGAGCAGGACCCGAGCACAAACGACUUGCUUGUUAUACUGAGCAAGCAGCAGUACUGUAGUGUUCCAGCUCCUGCUGACACAGUUGCUAAUUCUUACUUGUCUACUGAGACAGAGCAGUGUCUUGGGGAAUGUUUUCUCUGGUUUUGUGUUCUAGGUUCGCAGACAAAUGGCAGGCAUUGUGAGGCUAGCAUCGAAUAUCACCCUUUUGUUUUAGAUUGCGGAUAGACAACGUGGUUGGAGGAUUUAAGUUAGCGGAGUUUGUGACUGUGAUCAUAUAUGGGAGUCUUGCUUUUAGAAGCUGAAAAUCAGGGUUCAAAGCAGAACAGCACAUAGCGUCUGACAUCUUCACCUGUGGGAACUGCCCAACGUUUGCAUCUUGUACAUGGAGAAUGCAGAAAUUAACUUCGUUCUGUUUUGUUUGGCAGAACCAGCAAACCAUCUGCAAGUCACCUCCCUAGUUUUUCUGGCCCAUCCACAGCAGAGCCUGGGAAGAAUGUCUGCCUGUGGUUCUCAGAAGCACCUAGUAGGUCUCAGAACUAAGUUCCUGGUGAAGAUGUGGCAGGCAUCUUCCAAAGGAAUUUGCUUUGUACAGUGUACUGCAGCUAGGAUUCAGGCUUUCUAGAUUAUGCAGUAACGCCCAGCACAGGAGAGUGUGAAUCUCCAUCAGCAUAGGUUGCCACAAACCAAAGGACAAAUCCACAGACAGGGAGCUGUGCUGGGGAGCUAGCUUCAGGUCCUUACACCUGCACCUGGUUUGCAGUGAAUACAAACACUGGUAUUUACACCUGCAUUUGGAAAUAGACUCCUUCAAUGCUAAAACCAUAGGUGGCUUGGGUAAACUUGAGCAACUAUUCCUGUAAAUUCGAAUAUUGUAAAGGAUAAAUUUGCCAGACUCAAUUUAAAAGCUAUUUUGUUGGGCUUUCCUUAUUUUUUUCUUUUUUUUUUUCUUCUUUCCUCUCUAAGAGUGGGCAUAAUUUUUUGCAACCAUGCGCAUUGAAGCAGAAGCUCAAGUAUGAGACAAAGAGUUUUAAAAUGGUUUGGUUGUACUGUCUACUUGGUGAUAUUUUUUUAAAGAACAUUUACGAAAGAUUUAUGUAAAAUCUAUCUUUUGUCUACUUAAAAUAUGUCAAAUGGAUGUACAGGGCAAAAUUUAAUGCAUAUGGGUUUUCAUUAUUUUAAAUCAUUUGCAAUAUAAAUGAUUUACUGUGACAUCAGACAUUCGUUCUUUGGCUGUCCACCAUAAAUUGAAGCCCACCCAAAUUUCCACUUUUAUAUUUCUGCAUUCCCUCCCCCAGUAUCUCUAACCUUAGCUCUGCGAUUCUUCAUGUAAAUGACUUUCAAGAAGGAAAGGAAGAGAACACAUAAUUGGCCUUAAUACAGGUGAUACUGAAAGAAAAGCGAGACCUUUAUGUGAGAAAUUGUUGACAGCUGUGGAAAGGGGGGAACUAAUGCAUGUAGGAGAGAAAGUCGUUCCUGAUGAGAGCUACUGGAUGUGAUCAAAUGGACUUCUUGUGCUACUGAAACUGCCAGAGGUGACUGAUUUCUGUCUUGCUUUCUGAAUGUUUUCAUGUCUUUUUAGUGUCUUUCCAUUUAUAAUGCAAUUAACUGAACACUGACCUAUUAAUGUUACACAGCUGUUUGGAAAACUGAGGUAAGCCAGUUUGCCCAAGGUCAUUCUUGAUGUUCAUAGUGAGAAACGGGUGAUGCCCAGAACGAUGCUGUCAUUGCAAACCUUCUCCUAAAACAUGCAAAAAUCUCAAGACACAGAUUUUUUGGAAGACCUUAUGGGGAACAGCGUUCAUUAUUUUAUUUUCUGGUUGUGUCAUGACAGUUAAUGCACCACAGACCUUUGGACCCAUCAUCAGCCCGUAUGUGAAGCCUUCCUGGCUCUGUAUUUACUGAAAAUUGCUGCUACCUGUUAGUUCUUCUGCGGCCUGUGCCACAGGCUUAACCACCUCAACUCAGCCCUGUUUCUCAUCCAUGCAUGUCAUCUCAAGACCUACGAGAUAAGUGAUUGCUGGGGACACUGGAGGGCACUGAAGUUUAUAGAAAGAGGAACACCAUAAUGAAGCUUUAUUGGGAUGGCAUCACCAAACAAUUGCUGUGAUAGCAACACUCCUAAGCCUGGAAAAAUGCCAAACAUUCCCCCUGGAA